rnacentral:rRNA from 1 species
GACGAACGCUGGCGGCGUGCUUAACACAUGCAAGUCGAACGGAAAGGCCCUGCUUUUGUGGGGUGCUCGAGUGGCGAACGGGUGAGUAACACGUGAGUAACCUGCCCUUGACUUUGGGAUAACUUCAGGAAACUGGGGCUAAUACCGGAUAGGAGCUCCUGCUGCAUGGUGGGGGUUGGAAAGUUUCGGCGGUUGGGGAUGGACUCGCGGCUUAUCAGCUUGUUGGUGGGGUAGUGGCUUACCAAGGCUUUGACGGGUAGCCGGCCUGAGAGGGUGACCGGCCAAAUUGGGACUGAGAUAAGGCCCAGACUCCUACGGGAGGCAGCAGUGGGGAAUAUUGCACAAUGGGCGGAAGCCUGAUGCAGCAACGCCGCGUGCGGGAUGACGGCCUUCGGGGUGUAAACCGCUUUCGCCUGUGACGAAGCGUGAGUGACGGUAAUGGGUAAAGAAGCACCGGCUAACUACGUG